UACAGAGGGGGCAAGCGUUGUUCGGAAUUACUGGGCGUAAAGGGCGCGUAGGUGGCCUUCUAAGUUGAACGUGAAAUCCCUGGGCUCAACCCAGGAACUGCGUCCAAGACUGGGAGGCUUGAAUCCGGGAGAGGGAUGCGGAAUUCCAGGUGUAGCGGUGAAAUGCGUAGAUAUCUGGAGGAACACCGGUGGCGAAGGCGGCAUCCUGGACCGGCAUUGACGCUGAGGCGCGAAAGCCAGGGGAGCAAAGCGGG
rnacentral:rRNA from 1 species